rnacentral:rRNA from 1 species
UACGUAGGCAGCGAGCGUUGUUCGGAAUUACUGGGCGUAAAGCGUGCGCAGGCGGUUUUGUAAGUCUGUCGUGAAAGCCCCGGGCUCAACCUGGGAAUUGCGAUGGAGACUGCAAGGCUUGAAUCUGGCAGAGGGGGGUAGAAUUCCACGUGUAGCAGUGAAAUGCGUAGAGAUGUGGAGGAACACCGGUGGCGAAGGCGGCAUCCUGGACCGGCAUUGACGCUGAGGAGCGAAAGCCAGGGGAGCAAACGGG